rnacentral:rRNA from 1 species
UACGUAGGGGGCAAGCGUUGUCCGGAUUCAUUGGGCGUAAAGAGCGUGUAGGCGGCCAGGUAGGUCGGUUGUGAAAACUGGAGGCUCAACCUUCAGAGGUCGACCGAAACCAUCUGGCUAGAGUCCGGGAGAGGAGAAUGGAAUUCCCGGUGUAGCGGUGAAAUGCGCAGAUAUCGGGAGGAACACCGGUGGCGAAGGCGGUUCUCUGGGCCUUACCUGACGCUGAGGAGCGAAAGCGUGGGGAGCGAACAGG